rnacentral:rRNA from 1 species
UACGGAGGGUGCAAGCGUUGUCCGGAAUCACUGGGCGUAAAGGGCGCGUAGGCGGCUCAUGAAGGCUGUGGUGAAAGUCCGGGGCUCAACCUCGGAUCGGCCGUGGCGACUCGUGGGCUGGAGCACUGUAGAGGCGGGUGGAAUUCCGGGUGUAGCGGUGGAAUGCGUAGAGAUCCGGAAGAACACCAGUGGCGAAGGCGGCCCGCUGGGCAGUGGCUGACGCUGAGGCGCGACAGCGUGGGGAGCAAAUAGG